rnacentral:ncRNA from 1 species
AGUUUUACUCUGGCUUAUGUUAAAUUGUUCCAAUUUUAUGCAUGCAAAUAUUAGUCCAAUACUUAAAAAAAAAAUAGCAGCAUAUAAUAUUACACAAUUAGUGAAAGCUAGAUGAAAAAAAGGAAAAAAGAUAGAAAAAAUUGUGCCAGCAUCUGCGGUUACACAAUUAUCUUAAAUUUAACUAAUAGGAAAACGUAAUAAAAAAAAAUAUAUGUAAUGGUAUAAUAGAAAAACAAAAAACUUUUUUUUAUAGAUUCGUGAAAGUUUAUCUUAGAACUAGGAUUAGAUACCCUACUACUAAAAACUGUAAAAAUAUCUAGGGCAUUAAGAGCAUAGCUUAAAACCUAAAGAGUUUGGCGGCUUUCCUCUACCAGGGGAGCUUGUCAUUUAAACGAUAAUCCGCGAUACAUUUUACUUAUUUUAAAGUUUGUAUACCUCCGUUGUGUUAAUAUAAAAAAUAAAAGAAAUUAGCAAAAGAUCUUCCUAACCUCAGGUAAAGGUGCAACCUAUAAAUAAGAAUUAGAUGAGCUACUUUAAAAUUUUAAUGAAAAUAUUUACAAAAGUUUUUAUAAAAAAGUACUUGGCAGUAAUUUUUUUUUAAAACAAAAAAAUGAAAAUAUAUGGAAAGUGCACAAAUCGCCCGUCAAUUCCAUAUCUGGAAUAAGUCGUAACAAAGUAGGCGUACCUGAAGGUGUGCCU